rnacentral:tRNA from 1 species
AGAUAUUUAAUUUAUUAAAAUAUUAGUUUGUCAAAUUAAAAAUACCCUUAGGGUAGUAUCUA